GAUGAACGCUGGCGGCGUGCCUAAUACAUGCAAGUCGAGCGAACGGACGAGAAGCUUGCUUUUCUGAUGUUAGCGGCGGACGGGUGAGUAACACGUGGAUAACCUACCUAUAAGACUGGGAUAACUUCGGGAAACCGGAGCUAAUACCGGAUAAUAUUUUGAACCGCAUGGUUCAAAAGUGAAAGACGGUCUUGCUGUCACUUAUAGAUGGAUCCGCGCUGCAUUAGCUAGUUGGUAAGGUAACGGCUUACCAAGGCAACGAUGCAUAGCCGACCUGAGAGGGUGAUCGGCCACACUGGAACUGAGACACGGUCCAGACUCCUACGGGAGGCAGCAGUAGGGAAUCUGCCGCAAUGGGCGAAAGCCUGACGGAGCAACGCCGCGUGAGUGAUGAAGGUCUUCGGAUCGUAAAACUCUGUUAUUAGGGAAGAACAUAUGUGUAGGUAACUGUGCACAUCUUGACGGUACCUAAUCAGAAAGCCACGGCUAACUACGU
rnacentral:rRNA from 1 species